GACGGGGGGGGGCAAGUGUUCUUCGGAAUGACUGGGCGUAAAGGGCACGUAGGCGGUGAAUCGGGUUGAAAGUGAAAGUCGCCAAAAAGUGGCGGAAUGCUCUCGAAACCAAUUCACUUGAGUGAGACAGAGGAGAGUGGAAUUUCGUGUGUAGGGGUGAAAUCCGUAAAUAUACGAAGGAACGCCAAAAGCGAAGGCAGCUCUCUGGGUCCCUACCGACGCUGGGGUGCGAAAGCGUGGGGAGCGAACAGG
rnacentral:rRNA from 1 species